UUAGAAGAACCUCCCAACAAAAAUAGUAAAAGUAAAGCUUUUAGAAACUAAGUGUGUGGCUCAUAAAGUUUAUUCAGUAUGCUCUAUUAUUCAUGGUUUAUGAUUUUUAAGCUUUUAGAUUUAUUCAAGGUCAAGGUGAGUCACUUACACUUAGUAUGCAUUAUUUGAAAGACUAUGAAUAUAUUAAGUUAUUGUUUUACUUAUGCACUGACCCCCACAUACUCAGUACAUUCCAAAAGUACCGAUCCAUAUAUAUAAAUAUGUGCUACAUUUUCUCGUAAUAUAGGUUCAAGUUAUAGCUCACACUUCAU
rnacentral:lncRNA from 1 species